UACGAAGGGGGCUAGCGUUGUUCGGAAUUACUGGGCGUAAAGCGCACGUAGGCGGAUUGUUAAGUUAGGGGUGAAAUCCCGGGGCUCAACCCCGGAACUGCCUUUAAUACUGGCAAUCUCGAGCUCGAGAGAGGUGAGUGGAAUUCCGAGUGUAGAGGUGAAAUUCGUAGAUAUUCGGAGGAACACCAGUGGCGAAGGCGGCUCACUGGCUCGGUACUGACGCUGAGGUGCGAAAGCGUGGGGAGCAAACAGGG
rnacentral:rRNA from 1 species